GAUGAACGCUGGCGGCGUGCCUAAUACAUGCCAGUCGAGCGAACGGACGAGAAGCUUGCUUUUCUGAUGUUAGCGGCGGACGGGUGAGUAACACGUGGAUAACCUACCUAUAAGACUGGGAUAACUUCGGGAAACCGGAGCUAAUACCGGAUAAUAUUUUGAACCGCAUGGUUCAAAAGUGAAAGACGGUGUUGCUGUCACUUAUAGAUGGAUCCGCGCUGCAUUAGCUAGUUGGUAAGGUAACGGCUUACCAAGGCAACGAUGCAUAGCCGACCUGAGAGGGUGAUCGGCCACACUGGAACUGAGACACGGUCCAGACUCCUACGGGAGGCAGCAGUAGGGAAUCUUCCGCAAUGGGCGAAAGCCUGACGGAGCAACGCCGCGUGAGUGAUGAAGGUCUUCGGAUCGUAAAACUCUGUUAUUAGGGAAGAACAUAUGUGUAAGUAACUGUGCACAUCUUGACGGUAGCUAAUCAGAAAGCCACGGCUAACUACGUG
rnacentral:rRNA from 1 species